GAUGAACGCUGGCGGCAUGCCUAAUACAUGCAAGUCGAGCGAACGGACGAGAAGCUUGCUUCUCUGAUGUUAGCGGCGGACGGGUGAGUAACACGUGGAUAACCUACCUAUAAGACUGGGAUAACUUCGGGAAACCGGAGCUAAUACCGGAUAAUAUUUUGAACCGCAUGGUUCAAAAGUGAAAGACGGUCUUGCUUUCACUUAUAGAUGGAUCCGCGCUGCAUUAGCUAGUUGGUAAGGUAACGGCUUACCAAGGCAACGGUGCAUAGCCGACCUGAGAGGGUGAUCGGCCACACCGGAACUGAGAAACGGCCCCGACUCCUAGAGGAGGAAGCGGCAGGGAAUCUUCCGCAAUGGGCGAAAGACUGACGGAGCAACGCCGCGUGAGUGAUGAAGGUGUUCGGGUCGUAAAACUCUGUUAUUAGGGAAGAACAUAAGUGUAAGUAACUGUGCACAUCUUGACGGUACCUAAUCAGAAAGCCACGGCUAACUACGUG
rnacentral:rRNA from 1 species